rnacentral:rRNA from 1 species
CAUAUGGAUGCAGCAGUGGGGAAUAUUGCACAAUGGGCGCAAGCCUGAUGCAGCAACGCCGCGUGAGGGACGAAGGCCUUCGGGUUGUAAACCUCUUUUAGUAGGGAAGAAGCGACUGGGUUUUCCUGGGAGUGACGGUACCUGCAGAAAAAGCACCGGCUAACUACGUGCCAGCAGCCGCGGUAAUACGUAGGGUGCAAGCGUUGUCCGGAAUUAUUGGGCGUAAAGAGCUCGUAGGCGGUUUGUCGCGUCUGCUGAAAUGGGAGGCUCAACCUCGGGCCUGCAGUGGGUACGGGCAGACUAGAGUGCGGUAGGGGAGAUUGGAAUUCCUGGUGUAGCGGUGGAAUGCGCAGAUAUCAGAAGGAACACCAAUGGCGAAGGCAGAUCUCUGGGCCCGUAACUGACGCUGAGGAGCGAAAGCAUGGGGAGCGAACAGGAUUAGAUACCCUGGUAGUCCAUGCCGUAAACGUUGGGAACUAGAUGUGGGGACCAUUCCACGGUCUCCGUGUCGCAGCUAACGCAUUAAGUUCCCCGCCUGGAGAGUACGGCCGCAAGGCUAAAACUCAAAGGAAUUGACGGGGGCCCGCACAAGCGGCGGAGCAUGCGGAUUAAUUCGAUGCAACGCGAAGAACCUUACCAAGGCUUGACAUAUACCGGAAACGGCUGGAAACAGUCGCCCCGCAAGGUCGGUAUACAGGUGGUGCAUGGUUGUCGUCAGCUCGUGUCGUGAGAUGUUGGGUUAAGUCCCGCAACGAGCGU